rnacentral:rRNA from 1 species
GCAGCCACUCAUUCAAAGAGUGCGUAAUAGCUCACUGGUCGAGUGAUCCUGCGCCGAAGAUUUCCGGGGCUAAAACUUACUACCGAAGCUACGGCAUCAGUAAUGAUGGGUAGGGGAGCUUCCCAUACGGGUUGAAGCAUGACCGUAAGGACAUGUGGACAGUAUGGGAGUGAGAAUGUUGGCAUGAGUAGCGAGAUGUGGGUGAGAAGCCCACAGGCCGUAAACCCAAGGUUUCCAGGGGAAGGUUCGUCCGCCCUGGGGUAGUCGGGACCUAAGCUGAGGCCGAAAGGCGUAGGUGAUGGACAACAGGUUGAUAUUCCUGUACUACCGAUAACCGUUUGAGAGAAGGGAUGACACAGUAGGAUAAGCUAAGCACACUGUUGGUUAUGUGUGCCCAAGCAUUGAGGCAGUCAAAGUAGGCAAAUCCGCUUUGAUAAUGCUGGGGUGUGAUGGGGAGCGAAAUUUAGUAGCGAAGUAGCUGAUUUCACACUGUCAAGAAAAGUCUCUAUCGAGGUUAAAGGUACCCGUACCGCAAACCGACACAGGUGGGUGAGGAGAGUA